rnacentral:tRNA from 1 species
UCCCUGGUGGUUCAGUGGCUAAGACUUUGUGCUGCCAGUGCAGGGAGCCUGGGUUCAAUCCCUGGCUGGGGAA